rnacentral:rRNA from 1 species
ACACGUGGGUAACCUGCCUGUAAGACUGGGAUAACUCCGGGAAACCGGGGCUAAUACCGGAUGGUUGUUUGAACCGCAUGGUUCAGACAUAAAAGGUGGCUUCGGCUACCACUUACAGAUGGACCCGCGGCGCAUUAGCUAGUUGGUGAGGUAACGGCUCACCAAGGCGACGAUGCGUAGCCGACCUGAGAGGGUGAUCGGCCACACUGGGACUGAGACACGGCCCAGACUCCUACGGGAGGCAGCAGUAGGGAAUCUUCCGCAAUGGACGAAAGUCUGACGGAGCAACGCCGCGUGAGUGAUGAAGGUUUUCGGAUCGUAAAGCUCUGUUGUUAGGGAAGAACAAGUGCCGUUCAAAUAGGGCGGCACCUUGACGGUACCUAACCAGAAAGCCACGGCUAACUACGUGCCAGCAGCCGCGGUAAUACGUAGGUGGCAAGCGUUGUCCGGAAUUAUUGGGCGUAAAGGGCUCGCAGGCGGUUUCUUAAGUCUGAUGUGAAAGCCCCCGGCUCAACCGGGGAGGGUCAUUGGAAACUGGGGAACUUGAGUGCAGAAGAGGAGAGUGGAAUUCCACGUGUAGCGGUGAAAUGCGUAGAGAUGUGGAGGAACACCAGUGGCGAAGGCGACUCUCUGGUCUGUAACUGACGCUGAGGAGCGAAAGCGUGGGGAGCGAACAGGAUUAGAUACCCUGGUAGUCCACGCCGUAAACGAUGAGUGCUAAGUGUUAGGGGGUUUCCGCCCCUUAGUGCUGCAGCUAACGCAUUAAGCACUCCGCCUGGGGAGUACGGUCGCAAGACUGAAACUCAAAGGAAUUGACGGGGGCCCGCACAAGCGGUGGAGCAUGUGGUUUAAUUCGAAGCAACGCGAAGAACCUUACCAGGUCUUGACAUCCUCUGACAAUCCUAGAGAUAGGACGUCCCCUUCGGGGGCAGAGUGACAGGUGGUGCAUGGUUGUCGUCAGCUCGUGUCGUGAGAUGUUGGGUUAAGUCCCGCAACGAGCGCAACCCUUGAUCUUAGUUGCCAGCAUUCAGUUGGGCACUCUAAGGUGACUGCCGGUGACAAACCGGAGGAAGGUGGGGAUGACGUCAAAUCAUCAUGCCCCUUAUGACCUGGGCUACACACGUGCUACAAUGGACAGAACAAAGGGCAGCGAAACCGCGAGGUUAAGCCAAUCCCAC